AACCCCUGUGAACAUACCUAUACGUUGCCUCGGCGGAUCAGCCCGCGCCCCGUAAAACGGGACGGCCCGCCCGAGGACCCCUAAACUCUGUUUUUAGUGGAACUUCUGAGUAAAACAAACAAAUAAAUCAAAACUUUCAACAACGGAUCUCUUGGUUCUGGCAUCGAUGAAGAACGCAGCAAAAUGCGAUAAGUAAUGUGAAUUGCAGAAUUCAGUGAAUCAUCGAAUCUUUGAACGCACAUUGCGCCCGCCAGUAUUCUGGCGGGCAUGCCUGUUCGAGCGUCAUUUCAACCCUCAAGCUCAGCUUGGUGUUGGGACUCGCGGUAACCCGCGUUCCCCAAAUCGAUUGGCGGUCACGUCGAGCUUCCAUAGCGUAGUAAUCAUACACCUCGUUACUGGUAAUCGUCGCGGCCACGCCGUUAAACCCCAACUUCUGAAUGUUGACCUCGGAUCAGGUAGGAAUACCCGCUGAACUUAA
rnacentral:rRNA from 1 species